AAGCAGCACAUCAGUUCUGCGCCUGCGUGAGAUGAAAUGCCUUUCCGAAACAGCAGCAGGCGGCAGUAGCUGAACAGCCAAUCAGAAUGAUCAGAUGGUCCGACGGCCCGACGAGGUCCAACGCCGAUUCAACAUGUCGAAUCGGCCGAAACAAAGCCGACGAGGACCAACUUCAGCCGACGUUGGUGUGUUCCUGCCUU